CAGUCUAAUUCAGGCUGCUACAGUCAAGAGACCCACUACGGCCUUUAAUGAACUCAUUGAGAACUUAAAAUACUUGCAGCGUAGGAUACAAAAUGUAAGUAUGGUUUCAAUAGCAAUGCAAGCGAAAUGUAAAAUUUCUAUUUAUUGGGGGGGGGGGAAUUAACAAAGUUUUAAAUGAAAGUAUGAAAUAUAAAAUGUACUUGUUUUUAUAUUUAUCUAGGAUACUGUUGAACUACAUUCACCAAGAAAUAUCCUGGUAAGACUGACUCAACAUUUGCUUUCUGUUGUUAAACAUUCUAGAUUUGUUUUCAAAUGGUAGCUGUUGAUGCCAUGUGUAUUGCAUAGUGCUGAAUCCCUAUAUCAUGGGUACUGGUCAUCCAUUGUUGGGUUGCUCUUGUGCAAGUGAAGUAGCCCUGGUAGAAGCUGCUAUCAAAGAAGCAGUGAUUUAGGAUUAACCAGAUCUCAGGAGAAAAAAGCACUCAUCGCUUUGCAGGAUUAGUUUCUUAUUUUGUUCUAAUUAAGUAAUAAAUAUACAUUGGCCAAAGGCUAGAACAUACAGCUCUUUCAAUCCAAACGGAUUACUGAUUUGUUAACAGGGUGUGUGGUAGAAAGGACUGAUGCCAUUUUAGUCCCAAACAAAGGCAGCUGAUUAUACCUUUUAUUGCACCAGCUCUGCAGGCAGAGCAGCAAGUGUUUUGUAAUGGCAGGUCAAAAGUUUGUUGUUUAUUACACUUGUACAGCACUCUUCUUUCAGAAGCUCAAAGCCUAUUAGGCGAGGCUUCCACGGUGUCCUUGCUUAAAACUGGGUCAUAAUAUCCACUUAGCUAUAAUAUCAGGUUCUCCAAGGCCACCAUCAGCUGGCUAUUCUACAAACCUAGUUGGUCAACAUAAAGAUAUCACCAGAGACAUUUUGAAUAUUGUUUUGAUGAAGGAGGACUAACACAAGAAAGGUGACUGUAAUUCUAAGCAUGAUCUAGGAUAACAUUAAAAGAGAAAGAGAGAUUUCACUUUUAAAUUGGCAUUAUGCAUUUAAAAUAAUUGAGAAAGAAGAAGAUUGUUUUUACUCAGCAAGGGAUCUUGGAGUUAAAUGUGCGUAAAUACAAUUGUUUCCUGAAAAUAGUUAGAAGGGCAAAUAACAUUGCUCCAUGAACUAGUUGCAUUACACUUGACAUCAGUAUGCAUUAUAAAAAGGUAUAUAUUUCUGAAAGCUGAAGUAUGAAAAUUGAGCACUCUUGUUUGCCUUGACUUAAAAAAUAAAUAAAUCAGACCAAAUAGAAAUUGCUUCAAUUACAGAACAACAAUAUAACUGAAAACCUACAUUUUAAAAGUAACAGAAAAAACUCACCCAACUUCCUUCUGCUUACUACAUUCUGUUACGCUUCAGAAUGCUAUUCUGUUUUUGUUCAUAACUUGAGCAAGGAAGGUCUUCCACUUCUUUGCUACAUUUGUUAACUGUAAGAUAUUAUUAUAGUUCCCAUCAAAUUAGCAUUCUUUAAAUAGCUCAGUAUGUGUUAAAACAAACAGAACUAGUUUCCCUCUGAGAAAACCCUGUCAGGAUCCCAGAAGCAAUGUAUCUACAGUUAGUGACUAACUGCUUAAUCAUAACUUUUCAAGCAAUACAGUCUGCUAGGCUCAGGAAGUUAGCGGUUUCACACACACAACAGUCUUUUAAUGCCCUUACCUACCAUUCUGUACUAGUAGUUUUCUGGGCAUAGCGGUCUUAGUUUACUGUGUAGUACUAUAAUUGAAAACUGCAGAGGGAGAAAAGGUCCCAUUGUUGUAAAUUUGGGAAGCUCAAGGCAGAUUACAAGCUUGAGUAAGCAGUGUUUGGGGAGCAAGAGUGGGAGAUGGCUAUUGCUUUCACACCUGACUUGCAGGUUUCCUGAAGGUAAUGGGUUGGCUGCUGUUGGAAACUGGACUGGUUUUGCACUGUAUGUGUGAAGGGCACAUGCAAAACUGAAAUGGGAAAAAUGCCAGUUGUACUUGCAAAGCUGUCAGAAUGGCAACAUGAAGUGGUAAAAUGAGUACGGACCUAAAACACUUCAUGUGGGAAGACAAAUUUGACUGUUCAAAUAUGACCAGAAGUCUAAGAAUAUCUUGCAUCAAUAUAACGAUAUAUAUGUUUUUCCUUCCAGGGCAUUUGCCUCCUCCCUGCCUUAGACUGCUUCAAAAAUGAAACCAUAUUAUUAAGGCCACUACAGGAUCGCAAAACAGGUGUGAUCCUCACUCGCAUCAAAUAUUUCCGUCCUCCUCCUAUUCCCGGUGCAUCUGACUCGGUAUGGCUAAUGAUAACAUGUUAUUUUAUAGUAAAUGGACUGACCCAAUAAUUUGUCUGAUGUUUUGGUAUGUUCCAUUAGGUUCUGCAACAAUAAAGGGUGCUAGCAGGUUUACCAGACAUAAAGACUUGUGCCUGUAUCAUUCAAGAUUAACUUUAUAAAUAAUUACGUUUCACAUGUCUAUCUCAACAGAUGGGCAGUGGAUUAAUGUGCUUAGAAAGCUCAAUGGAAGCUGAUACAAUAGGAGUCAACACAUAAACUAUAUAGCAUCACAGCUUGAAUCAUCACAUGGCACUGUGAAUAAGCCAUUAGACAACUUCUUAUGAUUAUAUAGGACACUUUAUUUCCAACUUCUAUUCUCCUUGCUGUGUCUUCAGGGACAAUAGAAUUAAGAGCAGAAUUGCUUUUAGAAGCUAGGUAUGUAGCUCCCCCAGCUGAGAAGUAAAACUUGGAUAAACAGUGAGUGAAUUAAACUAUGGUGUAACAUGAUCAGGAGUAAGAAUAUAAGCUUCAAGUUCCUGUUUCAAGUAGCAGCUCAGUUAUUAUUAUGACAAACAUUGGCCAGACCCACACACUCUUGUUGGCUUUUGGAGAAAUCACUCUCCUUUUCUAGCGGUAUUCUCUUGUGCAGUGUUGAAUUCUGGUCUUCUGUAAUGACUUCUGUGGUGGCAUGAGGGGCUACAGUGGGGCUACAGCUCUCUAUGAUCCUGGUCAGCGUGGCCUUAAACAUGUCACUAUCUCCAAAUCUUAAGCAAAUGGAUGAUACUAACCUACUUAGGAAAAUUCUUGUAAGGAUUCCUUUUGGUUCUUAAAUGGCAAAACGAUAUUCUGAUGUGGUAAGACUGCAAGUUACAAUUUCCUGAAAUUCAUGGAAAAUGUAUGCCGGGGUUGAAGUCACACUUUGCUACCUUGGCAGCCUUCUGCCAAAAACUCAUUGCUUAUGUAGGAUUGUCCGAAUAAACUGGAAUAAUCAGUGUGAAGACUGGGCUGGCUUUUCUGCCACCCAGUUUUGCAUUCAGACCUAUAGGAUUAUAUACCAUAGAGUUUCAAUGACAGAAACUUAGAAUUUUGAGAUGCUGUGUUGGACCUGUGAGACCUCAAGUCAUACACCUGUUCUUAAGGAGAAGGCUGAACCCAGAGCUUCCUGCUUCAUUUUACCAUUUGAAAAUGGCUCCAGGUGAUGAGGCUAAAAUACCACAUCUCAAAGAAAGUGUUUGUGUUCAGCCCUGGGAUAUAUGAAAUAAAAGAUGACCACCAACAAGUUUCCUAGAGACUAAGCAUUGCGACCAAGGGUAUCAGGUGGCACAAACAUUACAAAAGGUAACACUUAAGAUAGGGGACAGCACAAUUUUACUUUCUCACCUUUGUUUCUUUUAAAAAAAAUGGAGACAGCUAAUUAAUUUUAUUGUGUAAUCUCUUUAAAACACAUGAAAAAUAAUUAAGACUUUUUCUUCAUCUGACAGACGUGCCCUUCAUGUACCAGUUAUAAGAAACAGAGCCUAAGAACAUUUUUGGAUGAGUUUAUAACACUGCUACAGCAGGUAAUAAAAGUGUAAUCACAAUCAUCAUUAUCUUGUUUUUGGCAUUUGCUUUUUCAACUUGUCUACUAGUGUUUAACAUUUUUGUAAUGUCUAUUUUUACAGAUGUAUCAGCUUCACAUGGAAAACCAAAAUCAAUAGGACACCUGCUGUUUCAACACCCGCUAUGUCAGUAAUAUAAAUGUAAAUAUUGUC